AGUGCUCCCAGUGGGAGACGAAGAUCGCCGGAGCAGCACGAAGCACACCCGAACUAUUGGUACCGAUGAGAUCGAGUUGAAUCCAAUCUGGGGCCAGUAGCCUGUUCCAUAGGCAAAUCGAUUGUCCGAAUUGAUAUACCAUUACCAAGUUUUUUUUAAAGAAAUGAGAAAAGGUAUAAAGUAUGAUGAGAUAUUCGGAAAUGUCAAAUUGAAAUAUAUGAAAUCUCCUUUUUUAAUUUACUAAUGAACUGUAACGAAUCUGUUAAUCGAUAUAUUUUUGUAGGUGUGUAUUUUAAAAAUUAUAGGAACGAGAUACCUUGACUGUAUAUGGCUAAAGGAUCCCUUUGUCAGAGCAAGGACAAAGAUCGAAUCAGGGACAAUACCUGUAAGGGAUAUUGUGGCGAGAGACAAGGACAUCCGCGUUUCGACAAAAUCGGUCAGCGGGUCACAGAUAAUUCUUCAUGAAGUCUGUAAAACUGACUAUAAGAAAUCUAUCAUAGUAUCAUAAAUGUAUUCUAUUUAGUAACUAUCUAAGAGCAAUAUUAUAUAACGAAAUAAUAUAUAAAUAAUCCCAA